rnacentral:rRNA from 1 species
UGAGUACGAGAUGCUACGGCAUUGAAGCAGUCUAUGUCAGACUUCCAAGAAAAGCUCGGAAUAUCAUAAACAAGAAAUGCCUGUACCAUAACCGACACAGGUGGGUAGGUAGAGUAUACUAAGGGGCGCGACAUAACUCUCUCUAAGGAACUCGGCAAAAUGACUCCGUAACUUCGGGAGAAGGAGUGCCUUAUUUUAUAAGGUUGCAAUAACAAGAUCCAAGCAACUGUUUACCAAAAACACAGGUCUCCGCUAAGUCGUAAGACGAUGUAUGGGGGCUGACGCCUGCCCAGUGCCAGAAGGUUAAAGAAGUUGGUUAGCAAUAGCGAAGCUGAUAACUGAAGCCCUGGUGAACGGCGGCCGUAACAAUAACGGUCCUAAGGUAGCGAAAUUCCUUGUCGGGUAAGUUCCGACCCGCACGAAAGGCGUAAUGAUUUGGAUACUGUCUCGGAGAGGGGCUCGGUGAAAUAGACUUGUCUGUGAAGAUGCGGACUACCUGCACCAGGACAGAAAGACCCUAUGAAGCUUUACUGUAACUUGAGAUUGAAAUUGGACUUUAUUUGCGCAGUAUAGGUGGGAGACGUUGAAAAUAUUCUUGCGGGAUUAUUGGAGUCAUCAGUGAGAUACCACUCUUGUAAUGUUAGAUUUCUAACUUUGUAUCAUUAUCUGGUCAAAGGACAGUUUCAGGCGGGCAGUUUGACUGGGGCGGUCGCCUCCCAAACGGUAACGGAGGCGCACAAAGGUUUCCUCUGAACGUGUAGAAAUCGUAUCUAGAGUGUAAAGGCAUAAGGAAGCUUGACUGUGAGACCUACAAGUCGAGCAGGGACGAAAGUCGGUCUUAGUGAUCUGACGGUGCUGAGUGGAAAGGCCGUCACUCAACGGAUAAAAGUUACUCUAGGAUAACAGGCUGAUCUCCCCCAAGAGUUCACAUCGACGGGGAGGUUUGGCACCUCGAUGUCGGCUCAUCGCAUCCUGGGGCGGUAGUACGUCCCAAGGGUUGGGCUGUUCGCCCAUGAAAGCGGUACGCGAGCUGGGUUCAGAACGUCGUGAGACAGUUCGGUCCAUAUCCGGUGUAGGCGUUAGAAUAUUGAGAGGAGCCUUCUUUAGUACGAGAGGACCGAGGAGGACAUACCUCUGGUCUACCAGUUAUCGUGCCAACGGUAAACGCUGGGUAGCUAUGUGUGGAGUGGAUAACCGCUGAAAGCAUCUAAGUGGGAAGCCCACCUCAAGAUAAG